rnacentral:ncRNA from 1 species
CAUAGGUUUGGUCCCAGCCUCUCUAUUAGUUAUAAGCAAAACUACACAUGCAAGUAUCCGCACCCCAGUGAGGAUCCCCUGCAAGUCACCAUUUGACAAAAAGGAGUGGGCAUCAAGCACACACAUGUAGCUCAAGACGCCUUGCUCAGCCACGCCCCCACGGGAAACCAGCAGUGAUAAAAAUUAAGCAAUGAACGAAAGUUUGACUAAGUUAUGCUUACCAAGGGUUGGUAAAUUUCGUGCCAGCCACCGCGGUCAUACGAUUAACCCUAAUUAAUAGACCUACGGCGUAAAACGUGUUUAAGAAGCCCAUACCAUUAAAGCCAAACUCUAGCUACGCUGUAAAAAGCCUCAGCUACUGUAAGCCCCACUACGAAAGUGACUUUAAAAUAUCUGAACACACGACAGCUAAGGCCCAAACUGGGAUUAGAUACCCCACUAUGCUUAGCCCUAAACCUAAAGGAUCCACAUAACAAGACCCUUCGCCAGAGUACUACUAGCCAAAGCUUAAAACUCAAGGGACUUGGCGGUGCUUUAUAUCCCUCUAGAGGAGCCUGUUCUAUAAUCGAUAAACCCCGAUAAACCUCACCAACCCUUGCCAACUCAGCCUAUAUACCGCCAUCUUCAGCAAACCCUGAAAAGGAGUCGCAGUAAGCUCAAUCACAUAACAUAAAAACGUUAGGUCAAGGUGUAGCCCAUGGGUUGGAAAGAAAUGGGCUACAUUACCUGCUGCCAGGUCACCCGCCAAACGAAUCCCCCUAUGAAAAUGAAGGGCUGAAGGUGGAUUUAGCAGUAAACUAAGAAUAGAGUGCUUAGUUGAAUAAGGCCAUGAAGCACGUACACACCGCCCGUCACCCUCCUCAAGCACCAACAGUAGACCCCAAUCCUAUUAACACCUACUACACCUGUCAGAGGAGAUAAGUCGUAACAAGGUAAGCGUACUGGAAAGUGUGCUUGGAUAACA